CCUACGGGGGGCAGCAGUGAGGAAUAUUGGUCAAUGGGCGCAAGCCUGAACCAGCCAAGUCGCGUGAGGGAAGACGGUCCUAUGGAUUGUAAACCUCUUUUGUCGGGGAGCAAAGCGCGGUACGAGUGCCGUGAAGGAGAGUACCCGAAGAAAAAGCAUCGGCUAACUCCGUGCCAGCAGCCGCGGUAAUACGGAGGAUGCGAGCGUUAUCCGGAUUUAUUGGGUUUAAAGGGUGCGUAGGCGGAUUUGUAAGUCAGCGGUAAAAAUGCGGUGCUCAACGCCGUAUCGCCGUUGAAACUGCAGGU
rnacentral:rRNA from 1 species